rfam:Clostridium colicanis DSM 13634 CLCO_contig000046, whole genome shotgun sequence.
GAUCAAGUAAAAAAGGGCGCACGGUGGAUGCCCUGGCACUAGGAGCCGAUGAAGGACGUGAUAAGCUGCGAUAAGUUGCGGGUAGAUGCAAAUAAUCUGUGAUCCGCAGAUUUCCGAAUGGGGAAACCCACUUAGCUAACGCUAAGUACUAUAUGCUGAAUACAUAGGCAUAUAGAGGUACACCUGGGGAACUGAAACAUCUAAGUACCCAGAGGAAGAGAAAGAAAAUUCGAUUCCCUAAGUAGCGGCGAGCGAAAGGGGAAGAGCCCAAACCAGAAACUUCGUUUCUGGGGUUGUGGAUAGAUCAUAACGCUUUGAUUUUCUUAGCCGAAUAGAACUGGAAAGUUCAGUCGUAGAAGGUAAUAACCCUGUAGGCGAAAAGAAAAGAUAAGCAGAUCUACUCCAGAGUACCACGAGACACGUGAAACCUUGUGGGAAGCAGGGAGGACCAUCUCCCAAGGCUAAAUACUACCUAGUGACCGAUAGCGAAGCAGUACCGUGAGGGAAAGGUGAAAAGAACCCCGGGAGGGGAGUGAAAUAGAACCUGAAACCGUGUGCCUACAAUCGGUGGGAGCACUUUUAUGUGUGACCGCGUACUUUUUGUAGAACGGGCCAGCGAGUUACGAUAUGCAGCAAGGUUAAGCACUUCUGGUGCGGAGCCGAAGGGAAACCGAGUCUGAAUAGGGCAACUAGUUGCAUAUCGUAGACCCGAAACCGGGUGACCUAUCCAUGGCCAGGAUGAAGCGAAAGUAA